UUGAACGCUGGCGGCAUGCCUUACACAUGCCAGUCGAACGGCAGCACGGGUGCUUGCACCUGGUGGCGAGUGGCGAACGGGUGAGUAAUACAUCGGAACAUGUCCUGUAGUGGGGGAUAGCCCGGCUAAAGCCGGAUUAAUACCGCAUACGAUCUACGGAUGAAAGCGGGGGACCUUCGGGCCUCGCGCUAUAGGGUUGGCCGAUGGCUGAUUAGCUAGUUGGUGGGGUAAAGGCCUACCAAGGCGACGAUCAGUAGCUGGUCUGAGAGGACGACCAGCCACACUGGGACUGAGACACGGCCCAGACUCCUACGGGAGGCAGCAGUGGGGAAUUUUGGAUAAUGGGCGAAAGCCUGAUCCAGCAAUGCCGCGUGUGUGAAGAAGGCCUUCGGGUUGUAAAGCACUUUUGUCCGGAAAGAAAUCCUUGGCCCUAAUACGGUCGGGGGAUGACGGUACCGGAAGAAUAAGCACCGGCUAACUACGUG
rnacentral:rRNA from 1 species